AUACGGAGGGUGCAAGCGUUAAUCGGAAUUACUGGGCGUAAAGCGCACGUAGGCUGUAGUGUAAGUCAGGGGUGAAAUCCCACGGCUCAACCGUGGAACUGCCUUUGACCUACUGCACAACUUGAAUCCGGGAGAGGGUGGCGGAAUUCCAGGUGUAGGAGUGAAAUCCGUAGAUAUCUGGAGGAACAUCAGUGGCGAAGGCGGCCACCUGGACCGGUAUUGACGCUGAGGUGCGAAAGCGUGGGGAGC
rnacentral:rRNA from 1 species